AGCCACUGAUGACGACUUAAAAAAUACUUUUCUGACAUCUCUAAUGAAUGCUGCAUUACAGCAGCUGAUUAUAAAUUCUGGUCUGAGGCUC